AGGCGCAGGGACGGGUGUCCUGGUCCCGGGGCCUGGCUCGUAGCGCCAUGUGCCCGCACAGCGGGCUGCAGAGACGAUCUGGUUUUGAGCCCUAAUUACUUGCUGUAUGGGCUUUCCCCGCCCCUCUCACGGGAGCGUCUGCCGGUGGCGUGGUGUCCGGCCGCGAACUCCCGCCCGUGGGCCUCCCUGUCGCGCCCUCGGGGCUUGAUCGCCUCCAAGUGCCCUAACCACGGAAGGGCAGCGAGCGAGCGAGCGCUUGGGUUUCCAAGCCGUGGCCCUUGGAGAAUCCAGAUGUGACAAAAAGGAUGGAUAAUCUUUCGGCUUGGCUCCCGUGUAGUGGAGCAGGAUGAGUCAGGCUGAUUAUCUCGGGCUGGCACACAGUUGCUGCUUUCUGGCUUGGCCUUCUUCUUUGAAAUGGGAGGUGACCUGAAGCAUAUCAUCAUGAUACUCAUGGCAUUCCACCUGAAGGAACAAAGUACUGCAAUCUUCAGCUGUUUCACGUUCAGACAUGGAGGUUUCAAGUCCUUUCCCUACUCCAGGGCAAUGUUUGGAGCACCGGCUGAAGAUCAGUGAGCUGCCGAGGAUGUUUCCAGCCACUCCAUUGCUGCACUGACUGUCAAGUAGAGUUUUGUCAGAAGCCAAAGGAUUUGGAAGGCUCCGUGUCCAGUCUCUUCUGCUUGGUCCUCUUCUGCAAGGAAUUCCUUCCAGAAUCAUCUUAAUUUAACUGCUGAUGGUUUGAGAAGUUGGAAUUACCUGUAAUCAUCAGGUAAACCAGCAGUCUUGAAUGGGUGAAGAUAACAACUGUAUUGGCCUCACCAGUUAAAAUCAUUGGAAGCUGUUUAUGGUUUAAUUAACACUAUGGCCUACUUACAAGUCAUCUCUUCCAAAAUGUCAAAGGAACCAGGGCUGAGCGUUUCUCCUGCUCCCACCUGUGCUUUGGGAUGAGAAAGAAUAACAUUAACACAGAGAGACCACGACUUCCUCUUGGAUGCAUCUGGACCAGUUUAUUAGGCAAUCCACUCAGCUUGUGAUUGGUCUACAAACAGCUGAUGAUGAGCAGUGCCAAGAUGUGGUACUGGACUGCUGAUCAGUUUUCUGUCUUUCAGAAGACUUGAAAAAUUAGAUUUGUGAAACAUCACUCACAUAAGCCACAGCUUCACCAUGAGGACAUUAGGCAGCCAAGACUGUACAAAGUAUCUUCACCAGCAAUCUUUCACUCUCUGACAAAUGUUUUCUUCUUGAAGGUAACUGUGGGUGGUCUUCCUUUGUCUGAUUUCUGUAAAUUCGGACAUCACUUUCUAGUUACGCAGCUGAUGCUCGUGUUUAUAUGAAUGGCUAUUUAAAAAAGGAAAGAUCAGAUGUUUGUUGUUUCACUUCAACAUAAAUCAAACUUUGUAUUCACACAGCAAUUCUAGUCUAGCCCCAGGAAUAGCUUUAGUAUUGCUAAGUGUCUGGAGAAUAUUGACUACAGAGACAUGAUUUUAAGCAGGCUAUAAUAGUUUCUACAGCUGUUAACAGUUCAUAGAAGAAAGACAGUAUUAUUCAUUGGUGUUUAAAAUGCGCAUGACUUGCAUUGCACAGAAGUCAGAUUGGGAGAAUGUCAGAAUUUUUUUCUGAAAUUCUGCCAGGAAAGUCUUCAAUAACUAGAGAAAUUCUUUUCACUGGUGAAAUCAACAUGCAGCACAUUGUGUUAUUAUAAUUGCUUAUAGCUCACCAUGAAAGUUGUCUUUGUAUGUGUGGAUGUACGACUUGUACUGUUUUGUUUUUAUUUAUUCUGCAUUCUUUAUUAUAAUGUUCUUUCCUUUUUUCCAGACCAGAAAGAUUGUUAUUGAGCUUUUCACAAAGCUGAAAUAAUGCUGUGUGUUAAAAAAAUGUUAACAAUUUGAAGAAGUUAUAAAAAUUUAUAAGUUGGCUGAAUACUUUGGAAAUUUCUGCAUAUUUUAAUAUAAAUAGGUAAUGCAAAUGUUUGUUCUUUGCAUUUAGAGGUGAGUCUCUGUUUUCUAAAGGUCUUCUAUGUAAAUUUGAUUCUUACAAUUACAUUAGAACAAAACCAUUAUUUUUUUAGAUUGUAUAAUAGGAAAAAAUGUGUUUGCAAAAGACACAGGGCAUACACGGUUAACUGUGAAUGCCGUAUAGUCGUGAAAUUAACAUAAAUAUACAUGUUAUGAUAUAA